GCUAGAGUGGUGGAACAGGCAUACACGCAGUCUUCAGAAGGCUGUCCGCCUAACCGGCGGAUGGGGGUUCAACUCCCCCCUCUAGCACCA
rnacentral:tRNA from 1 species